AUGGCUGAUUGGGGUCCCGUGGUGAUAGCGGUGGUGUUGUUCGUGAUUCUGUGUCCGGGUCUGCUGUUUCAAAUACCAGGAAGAGGAAGAAUAAUCGAGUUCGGAAACAUGCAAACGAGUGGCGCUUCCAUUCUUGUUCACGCCAUCAUUUACUUUGGUCUUAUCACUAUCUUACUCGUUGUCGUUGGCGUUCAUAUCGUCACUGGGGGCAAGACUUGCAAUAUAAAUAGAUUCUUGAGACCAAACAAAAAGGAGAACGAUGAAUAA